UGCGUAGGCGGUUUGAUAAGUCUGAUGUGAAAUCCCGCAGCUUAACUGCGGAACUGCAUUGGAAACUAUUUGACUAGAGGAAUGGAGGGGAGACUGGAAUACUUGGUGUAGCAGUGAAAUGCGUAGAUAUCAAGUGGAACACCAGUGGCGAAGGCGAGUCUCUGGACAUUUCCUGACGCUGAGGCACGAAAGGCCAGGGGAGCAAACG
rnacentral:rRNA from 1 species